CGGCGGACGGGUGAGUAACGCGUGGGUAACCUGCCUCAUACAGGGGGAUAACAGUUGGAAACGGCUGCUAAUACCGCAUAAGCGCACAGUACCGCAUGGUACGGUGUGAAAAACUCCGGUGGUAUGAGAUGGACCCGCGUCUGAUUAGGUAGUUGGUGGGGUAACGGCCUACCAAGCCGCGAUCAGUAGCCGACCUGAGAGGGUGACCGGCCACAUUGGGACUGAGACACGGCCCAA
rnacentral:rRNA from 1 species